UACGGAGGGGGCUAGCGUUAUUCGGAAUUACUGGGCGUAAAGCGUACGUAGGCGGUGGUUCAAGUCAGAGGUGAAAGCCCGGAGCUCAACUCCGGAACUGCCUUUGAAACUAGAUCGCUAGAACAUCGGAGAGGUAAGUGGAAUUCCGAGUGUAGAGGUGAAAUUCGUAGAUAUUCGGAGGAACACCAGUGGCGAAGGCGGCUCACUGGCUCGAUACUGACGCUGAGGUGCGAAAGCGUGGGGAGCAAACAGG
rnacentral:rRNA from 1 species